GCCACUGUGCCAUCUCUUCUUAUUCUUAUAUUUGUCUUAGAAUUCAAUAAUAAUUGUUUACAAUUUUUUAGUAUUAAAUUGAAUAAGUUUGGCAAAGUGUAUUUCACAUCUUCAAGAAAGAUUUAUUGGAAAACAGUCAUUGUUGAUUUAGACAAAAAUAUUUAGAAAAUAAGGCAUUACUGAAAUGACACAAGUAAAAUAUGAAACUGGAUACCAAUUUUUUUAAAUAUCAAAAUGCUGUAACUGAAAAAAAAACUGCUGUUUGUUUGUUGUUGGCUCUGUCAAUUACUAGAAUCCUGUGGUUUUAAUCACCAGCAGUUAAUUAACAAUGAUGUCCUGAGGAGGCUCACUGUCUCUAAGAACACAAGAAGCUCAAGCAGAUCUGAGAUGAUGCACACUUUCGGGCAGGUUCUCUCUUCUGAAUUAGGCUUCAUUCGUAAACAUUUAAAAGUAAAACCCAUACUGAAGAACAGUAACAUUUCCGAUAAUUCGGGGCUUCUGCACCAGGAUUGGGAAAUCUAGCAGAAGGCGGCUUCUUAACACUAUCUUGCUGUCAGCUACACACUGACACUCAUCCACACAACUAGCCAGCAGCACUUAUGGAGUGCUCACUUUAGGCAAGAAACCAGGUUAAGGUACAGCAAUAGACAAGAAGGUGAAAAAGAUGAUUCUGAUUACAAUUGGCAUAGUAGCUACCACGGUUUAUAAGUAUAAUUUUAACACAAAAUGCCUUGGGUUACGAAGGCUUGACAUCCCAAGAUGAUAGAUAUAUACAUACAUCCUUAUGAGUCUACGGAUUAUCAGAUUCAGUGAGACAGCUCCACAAACCAUGGCCUAUAAGUUUGGAAACACUGAUUAAUUUGUGUAAUACAAUAGGUACACAAAUAGCUAAAAUCCACAAAAGAAAGUCCCCAGCAUGAAAAUAAUUCCUGCUCAAGAAUCUGGGAAAAGCUCAACAAAAGCGUUGGUAUAUGAGGUAGGCUUUAAAAGCGGACAAUAUGCUUGCAAGAGAAAGAUGGUAAGGCAGGGAAUUCUAGCUAUACGAAAAAAGCAUGAGCAAAGCAGUUAGGACACUCCAGAGCUGGACUUCAUAGCCUUUCACGUCACAGACUCCUUCAAGAAUCUGCAGGAAGCCAUGGAACCCUCACCAGGAACGUGCACACUACGUCACAAUCGGCGGUUCUUUGCAUAACCUCAUAACCCAGGCUAAAGACCUUUGCUUUUGAUGUUUUUCAGGAACACAAAAAGCCCAACAGUAUCCAGAAAUGUAAACUGAGCAAGGAAGAACAACAGGAGAUACAGCUACAAUGAAUCUAGGCUUUGUUCUCUAACAAGGGUGGACCCUGUCAAUCAUAUAAGAAAGGAGAUCCUGCCUGAGCUACAAGGCUGAACAAAAGGAAGCAAAAACCCACCAUCCGGACAUAGAAGCCAACACUUGAGUCAAAGUCUUUUCAGGGAAUUGGACAGUAUCUGAGUGGCUAUAUAUGUGGUUGUCUUCAAUCCAGAGCCUCCUUAUGUCUUUUGUUUUGUUGCAAUGCGGACAUCUCUUACAGUAAGCAAACUUUUAGGGAAUGUGUGUUUCUCUGCAAAAUGACACCAUAAUUAGAGACAGACUAUUCCUCCUCAGCCUUAGCCAAUGAGCUCGUGUGGCCUGCCCAAGUGUCGUGAGUCGGGGGGGAAUCGUCCUGCUCUGUAAAUAUUUUCAUUCAAUGUAAACAAAACACAGUUGCAAAUCUUUUAACCAUUCAGCUAAUUAAUGUUCUGAAUUACUGCCUAUAAAAUACUCUCUAUAAAUCAUCAGUAACAAGAAGAAUCACAUUACUAUUAACAGGCAGUAUUUUUCCAGGUACCCAAAGUUAUAAAAUUAGUAAAACAGCAAUGGCCCAGGCUAAAAGCAGUGCAAAUCAGCAGUUAAUCCUUGAUUCUGACCUGCUUCCUUUUGGUACACUAAUUUUACAGUCAGUUUCUGAUACCUGCUGUCCUCUAGUAAUGCUCACCAUGAGCUAAAGUUGGCUACUGAACUCAGUUAGGUGAAAGCUCCCAUCAGUUACCAACUUCCGAGGUCAACACUAGCUUUUUGAAGGAUGCUGAGGAAAAUGGGCAUAUUGGUACCAAAGGGCCCAUGCCAACAAUUACAAUUCUUUCAUAUCCCAUUUUUAGCAUAUGAUUCAUAGUUACCAACCACAUACUGUAAGAGUCAGAAGUGCAUGCAUCAAGAAAAGGAGAACUGGGGGAAUGUCAUAUACAGAGGAACAGGAAUGGGUAUGUGUAUGUUACGCUGGAGAACAGACAGGUGGGUGACCAAGGAAUACUAUCAACUUAGGUUUUAUUACUUAGAAAAAGUUCAGAAUAGAGGUAAUAUUUCAGAGGCAUUGGGGGUUGAUGAUGGGACAGAAGAGCUGAUGUGAGGAUGACACUAGCGUACCCAGCCUCAGGGAAAUCUUACAAGAAGGUCUUGAUACAGAAAAGCUACCGUGAAACUAUGCAGAACUAACAAAGGAAGCAGGGCAGAAUGCAGAAGCAGCCAAAUAAAGCGUGGGUAUAUAACACAGAAUGAGAAUGCUGAAGCUAAUCUACAGUGAAUUAUUAGGAUGUCAAUGGGAGGGAUUGGAGUUGUUAAAUGUGGAAUACCAAAGUGACAGGCUCACAAUUUAAACUCUGUAAUUACUGCCAUAUUUCACCUCAUCUGUUAAACACAAUUUAUAUAACAUGAUGCUUAUGAAUCCAUACUUACAAAGAUAAAUUCAUUUAACCAACAAACGUUGUUUUGAGUGUUUAGAUAAUAUUAAUGAACAGAUAAAAAUGACAAACUCCUUAGUACAAAAAAGCAAAUUUCCACAGAUAAAAGUGGAGAAAGUGCACAUGACGGCUUGAGAAUUUAUGUGGCACAGGCACCCAACUAUAGUUUUUAAAACACUGAUAGAAAAUACUGAAAUUAGAAAUAAUUUUGUAGAAAUAAUUGGAGAACACUACCAAAUGGUUUUUUAGAAUUGUGAGAAAACUUUGCUAAAAAUCAUGGGACAAAAUGAACUUAUAUGACAUGGUGUACCUAUCCUAAGUAUUGUAGAAGGAAUUCCUGCACUGAGAAAGAAGAGAACAAAAGUCUAAGAUAGAAAAAGAACACAUACGCUUAUAUCAAUAAAAGCUAAUAUACAUAUUCAUGUAAUAAGAGGAAUUUAUCGACUCAAAAAAGAGGUCUAGAAUAGCAGGAAAAACAUGGACUUUGAAAACAGUCCAACCUGGGACUGCACUCUAUUAUCAAUUACAUAUGAGAUGUGAGACACUGGGAAAGUUAUUAACUACACCAAUCUGUUUUCCUGUACGUAAAAUGAGACAAAGAGUAGGAAUGUAAACACUAUAUGCCUGUGUCUCAUAUCCAUUCACUUCUUCCCACUUCAGACCACAAAAUCCUCUUAUCCUGCCUGUGCUAUCAUAACGGCAGGCUAACCGAUUACUACCAGAAUAAUCUUUUCAACACGUACACUGAGAGGCAAAAUCAUAGGGUAUCAUGGACAUAAAGAUCCUAAAAAUGAGAUUCUCCUAAAUACAUUAUAUGAGGACAAAAAUUUUAAAACAUCACCGUGAUCUCACAGAGAAAAUCACAUUUCUGAGAAACCAAAAUGAAUAAUAUCUUGGAACAAUUUCAAAACACCAAGUUACCAACUGCUGGCAGCCGAGGCCCAGCAAGUCAACCACCUGACAGUGAUUAUGGAGAGACAAUGACAACACUCUACCACAAAUCACAACGCCUCUACCUAGUGCCCUGCCCAACAUGGCAUUUCAUUGGUUUUUGUGUCUAGCCUUCUGAGCCCAUUCCUUAGCCUCACUUGACCAAAGAAAAAAAUCGAAAAGACCCAAGUAAUAAACUGAAUUGAUAAAUCAAUAAAAUAGGUCCACUAUUUCCUUGACCAAGGCAAUAUAUUUCCACUUUGCUUAAAAUGACCCUCACCUCCACAUACACCCUCACAAGUUCAGUUACUGAGGUUCUUUCUGUCAUCUAUGAAAUGCUUGGUUGACUUCCAAUUUCCCCUGCCUUUGCCAGAAAAUUGCUAAAUUUCCAAAAAGUGCUCUUUGAGCUGUCCAACAUUCCCAGACUCUCAUCUUACCGGCUGGAGGAGUUCUUACUAAUUUUAGAUUCAAGGAUGCCUUCUGUGAGCAAUUAGCUAUUCAGAGUCUCCGCCCUCAUCCUGCUUAGACACCAAACAUCACUAAUGCGGAGAACACAAACAAAUACAGCUAUCAACAAAGUCAGAAGCUACCUCUGAAAAGCAGUCAAACCAAGCCAAAAGGUCAGCUCUGCCACCUUAAUAGAUAGGUUUAUUGGAAAUCCUUCCAAAAGAAAUAAAUGUUGCCUAUCCUUCCCCUAAAGAAUUGAACGAGACAGUAGCAGAAAAACAGAAAAGACUCAGACAAAAGACAGAAAUACUUAAAAGACAGAGGCAGAGAGACUGACAGAGAAAGAGACCAGGCAGAUGGGGGUGGAGUCUGGGGGCGGAGGGGUGACAGAGACAGAAGGACAAACAGAGCAACUUGGAAGGUGAAUUUCUCUCUCUGUGAUUUUCAACAGUAUGAGGUUCUCCCAAGCAUAAGAAUCCAUUUUAAUGAAAGUAAAAUUACAUUUCAACAGUAAGUGGUCCAAUGCUGAUUACCAAGCACCUAUUGCUUCCUGUUCAGAUAUUCCUUUAAGAGGCUUACAUUCACCCCUCAUCCUCCACUGUGCACAGAUUUCUCGGCCUUUCUCCCAAUACAGGAGGGCCAGGGACAUGGCUACCGGGUUCAAAGCGCUAAAACAGCCUGCAGAGCUUCAGAAUGCAUGAGGUGC
rnacentral:lncRNA from 1 species